rnacentral:rRNA from 1 species
UACGAAGGGAGCUAGCGUUGUUCGGAAUCACUGGGCGUAAAGCGUGCGCAGGCGGCUUUUUAAGUCAGGGGUGAAAUGCCUAGGCUCAACCUAGGAACUGCCUUUGAAACUGAAAAGCUGGAGUCUCGGAGGGGUCAGGGGAAUUCCUAAUGUAGCGGUGAAAUGCGUAGAUAUUAGGAGGAACACCAGUGGCGAAGGCGCCUAACUGGACGAGUACUGACGCUCAUGCACGGAAGCGUGGGGAUCAAACAGG